UUUGGUUGAAAACAACCACUGGCAUUGACUAUGACCAUGAGUGAGAUUUGGCACUCAGAGCCACCAGGAUUCAUAGCCCCAUUGGUCACUGCCUGUGAAUUGGGGGUGAAACCCAGGCCUUGACAGGU
rnacentral:snoRNA from 1 species